GUCCCAGUUGCCCGCCACCAGCCCCACCUCCAGGAGCGGCGGAGAAGCAGAGACUUUCCAAUCGAGCCGACCUAAACCUUCCUGGCUUUGCUCCUAGCUCGCUGUGUGACUUUGUUGAUGCCCUGGUGGAGCGGAAGCGGGGUCAAUACCUCCACUGGCCAGCAGAGGACAGGCGAUGACCAGCCUUCUCGCCAGUUGCGCAUCCUCUCCGCCGGCAGGCGCCACGAGGGAAACAGGACGGGAUACAACUGCAGAAGCAACAAGUGAACCUUUAAAGAUGCAUAUGGGGCUGCACAAAGAGAAGAGAGGAACUGGAGAAACCAAGGAAGUAAGGAAAAAGUUUAAUAGGGAAAACUUGCUUUCUGCAAACAACUGAAAAAGCCGCCCUUGGAAGCUGUUUCUUUGGGCCUCAUGGAGCAGCUGGAACCUGCGCUGUGAGGCCCCCGACAGGACGAACUGUCGCCCACUGACCCCCCAGCGCGGCUGUCACCAUGGCCAGCAAGAGGAAGUCCACCACCCCGUGCAUGAUCCCCGUGAAGACCGUGGUGCUGCAGGACACCGGCGCCGAGGCCCUGCCCGAGGAGCCCGUGCCCGAGGGGCCCCCGCAGGAGCCGCCCCCAGAAGCUCCCACCGCCAGCGGCGAGGCCACCCAGGGCACCAGCGGUCCAGACAGUGCCGCACUGGCCAACGGGCACCGGAGCACCUUGGACGGCUACACAUAUGCCUGUAAAUGCUGUGACUUCAGAUCCCAGGACAUAACCCGGUUUGUGGGACACCUGAGCUCAGAGCACACAGACUUUAGCAAAGACCCGAACUUUGUAUGCACUGAAUGCAGUUUUCUGGCAAAAACUCCCGAGGGGCUUUCUCUGCACAAUGCCAAGUGUCACUCGGGGGAAGCCAGCUUUGUGUGGAAUGUGGCCAAGCCAGACAAUCAUGUCGUCGUGGAGCAGAGUGUCCCCGAGAGCACCAGCCCUCCCGACCCAUCGGGGGAGCCAAACAUGGAAGGGACAGAUGGACAGGCGGAAAUCAUCAUCACCAAAACUCCAAUCAUGAAGAUAAUGAAAGGCAAAGCCGAAGCCAAAAAAAUUCACACGCUCAAGGAGAACGUCCCCAGUCAGCCUGCUGGGGAGGCCUUACCGACCCCUUCAGCCGGGGACACGGAGGUGAAAGAGGGGGACCACGCCUUUGUCAACGGGGCAGCCCCGGUCAGCCAGGCCUCUACCAACUCCGCAAAACCCCCUCACUCGGCCAACGGGCCCCUGCUGGGGACGGUGCCGGUGCUGCCCGCGGGCAUCGCCCAGUUCCUCUCCCUGCAGCAGCCGCCCCCGCACGCCCAGCACCACGCCCACCAGCCCCUGCCCACGGCCAAGUCCCUCCCCAAAGUGAUGAUCCCGCUGAGCAGCAUCCCCACGUACAACGCGGCCAUGGACUCCAACAGCUUUCUGAAGAACUCCUUCCACAAGUUCCCCUACCCAACCAAAGCCGAGCUCUGCUAUUUGACCGUGGUCACCAAGUACCCGGAAGAGCAGCUCAAGAUCUGGUUCACCGCCCAGAGGCUGAAGCAAGGUAUCAGCUGGUCCCCGGAGGAGAUUGAGGACGCCCGGAAGAAGAUGUUCAACACGGUCAUCCAGUCCGUCCCCCAGCCCACAAUCACUGUCCUCAACACCCCGCUGGUUGCCAGUGGCGGCAACGUCCAACAUCUCAUCCAGCCCACUCUGCCUGGCCACGUGGUGGGCCAGCCAGAGGGCACAGCCGGGGGACUUCUGGUCACUCAGCCACUGAUGGCCAAUGGGUUGCAGGCACCCAGCUCAUCUCUCCCCCUGGCAGUCACAUCUGUCCCCAAGCUGCCCGCUGUCGCGCCCAUUAACACCGUGUGUUCAAAUACAACGUCCGCCGUGAAGGUGGUGAAUGCCGCCCAGUCCCUCCUCACGGCGUGUCCCAGCAUCACCUCCCAAGCCUUCCUGGAUGCCAGCAUCUACAAAAACAAGAAAUCUCAUGAACAGCUGUCAGCUCUGAAAGGGAGCUUCUGUCGGAACCAGUUCCCAGGACAGAGCGAAGUUGAGCAUCUGACCAAAGUGACCGGCCUCAGCACCCGUGAGGUGCGGAAGUGGUUCAGUGACCGCAGGUACCACUGCCGGAACCUGAAGGGCUCCAGGGCCGGGCUGGCCGGGGAGCAUGGCGCCCUCCUCGUCGACUCUGUGCCCGAGGUGCCCUUCUCCCUGGCGUCCAAGGCCCCGGAGGUGACCUGCCUCCUGACAGCGGCCACCCCAGCUACCCCCCCUUCUGCCAAGCGACAGUCCUGGCACCAGACCCCCGACUUCACACCAACCAAAUACAAGGAGCGGGCCCCCGAGCAGCUCAGGGCCCUGGAGAACAGUUUUGCCCAAAACCCCCUUCCUCUCGACGAGGAACUGGACCGCCUGAGGACCGAGACCAAAAUGACCCGCAGGGAGAUUGAUGGCUGGUUUUCAGAGAGACGGAAAAAAGUGAGUGCCGAGGAGGCCAAGAAGGCUGAGGAGGGCGCCUCUCAGGGGGAGGAGGAGGCCGCCGAGGAUGAGGGGGAGGAGGGCUCUGCCAGGGACCCGAGGGUCCCAGGGGAAGAUGGCUCCCCAGAAACGCCUGGCAGCCACGUGCUGGCAGAACGCAAAGUCAGCCCCAUCAAAAUCAACCUCAAGAACCUGCGAGUCACGGAGGCCAACGGCAAGGGCGAGCUCCCAGGGCUGGGCGCCUGUGAGCCCGAGGACGACGUGCCCAGCAAGCCAGCGGAGCAGCUGCCGGGCAAGGUGAGCUACAGGAAGACGGCCCAGCAGCGGCACCUGCUGCGGCAGCUCUUCCUGCAGACGCAGUGGCCCAGCAACCAGGACUACGACUCCAUCAUGGCCCAGACCGGCCUGCCGCGGCCCGAGGUGGUGCGCUGGUUUGGGGACAGCAGGUACGCCCUGAAGAACGGCCAGCUCAAGUGGUACGAAGACUACAGACGGGGCAACUUCCCCCCCGGGCUGCUGGUCAUCAGCCCCGGCAACCAGGAGCUGCUGCAAGACUAUUACGUGACCCACAAGAUGCUGUACGAGCAGGACCUGCAGAGCCUCUGCGACAAAACCCAGAUGAGCGCCCAGCAGGUCAAGCAGUGGUUUGCCGAGAGGAUGGGUGAGGAGACCCGGGCCGUGGCCGACACGGGUGGUGAGGGCCAGGGCCCCAGCGACCCUGCAGCAGUUCACAAAGGGAUGGGCGACACCUAUUCAGAGGUGUCCGAAAACAGUGAGUCAUGGGAACCCGGUGCCCCUGAGGCCAGCUCAGAGCCCGUUGACAUGCCGAGUCCCCAGGCUGGACCUCAGCUGGGUAAGGAGCCUGUGGGGCUGUGCCGUCCUCUGUGGGUCUGGGGGGCACCUGUUGGCAGGCACCGAAUCCAGUGCCGGGGCAUCUGCUGUUUCUAAGGCUGUCUGGCAGCAGGACCGUGUUGUCUGGCUGCUUCGGGGGGCACCUGGCAGCAGAAUCCAUUGGAGCAUCAUCAUAUGAUAAAGGCUUGACACUUGGUUUUUUUGUUUCGUGUUUGUUAAACCUGCUCAGGGGAAGGAGUGUAGUGAACCUCCAAGGGCCCACCCUUCUCUAGUCAUUUCUUAGCCAAAGGAGAAUAGGUCAGAAUGUCAUCUGAGCCAGAUAGAACCACGACCGCUGGGUAAGAGAGAGAAUAGGACUUACGAGGAAAUUCAACCCCAGUUGGUGAACAAAAGCAGAGGGAGCCUUUAAUUGACCUUAGAUACACAAAGUGCUUUUUCUUCUAAAUGAUGAAAAAUCCUGUAAUUUGCAUUGCAGUUAUUCUUCCUGAUAUAGAGGUAGUGGAAAAUCUUCUUCCCUCUUAGACAUAACAUGGAAUCGAAUGCUUGAAUUUUGUUCCUCAUUUUCUCUGGAUCAGGACAGUAGUACUUGAAAGAAAGCUUUAGAAGAUUAUUUUACUGAAGACAGUUUGAAGCCUCAGACAAAUCACGUUAUUGGGUGUUGAUUUUCUUGGGUCUUGAUCUCUGAGUUCCUGGCCUCUCCCUUCCCUCCCACCCUCCUCUUGGGUGGCCUUGUCACAGGUUGGCCAGGAGCGAGGUAGCUGAGCUCUUCACGGGAAGCUGUGGAAACCAAGGAAGUAUCUGGAUUCCCAGAUUCCCUGAUUUGGGACCUUUAGAAGGUGGUUCCAGGGCCGGCGUUUCUGGACUCGACCUUGUUUCCUCCAAGCCCCUAAACUGACUGAACCGGAACCGACGGCUGUGAAGGCCUGGCCGGGGCGGCCGCCCUCCACAUGGAAGGGCCUGACCCCCCUCUGCUGCCCCGGGCCGCCGCCGUACCCGGCCCGCCAUGCUCACACAGGUCUCCACGCGGCCAAGCCUGCCGCCGUCCGCACCCGGCCCGCCACCCCAGCGAGCAGGGAGGAGCGUCUGGCAGUUCUUCCGCCCACAAUGUAGGACCUUUCUUUUGCCUUCCAGUGGAUAAAUAGUUCAGAUUUCAUAUUCAUAGACACAGAAUCAAGUUUUUAACAUAUAAAUCUGCCUAUACACAUUUAAUAAAACAUCAGAUUAUAAACACUUUCAUUACAUAGAAACUUUGGUUAGCAAAGCAGUACGUGGUCUUUUAUAUCAUCUCUGGAAAUGCCCUGUGUCUGUUCUCUGGAGAUCGCUGGGCUGCGUGUUCCCGCACCUUCCAUGGUCAGGCCGGGGUUAUCACACGCUCAGAACCACACCUGCAACCGCUGGGGCCCCCUUUGCGCUCCUUCGGGAAGGUGGUACCUUUGAAGAGACCUCUGCUCCUUAAGCGGUGACCAGCAACAUUGCAUAGCAGGUUUGCCUUGCCUUACGGGAUGAUAGUGCAGAACAUGCUGUUACCCGCAGUUCAGAAAACUGACCGGUUAUGUGAUUAGUGUUUGAUGCUUACCACUCUCGUAAGUUGUUACAGUAAUUCUGCUUUUUCAUGGGAGUUUGAAUCAUGGACCAUAACUCUUCAGUGAUCAGAUCAACUAAAGAAACAUUUGUUGUUAAGCCUAAUGUACUGCCCUAUGUGCCGCCUUUUUUUUUUU